rnacentral:rRNA from 1 species
AGAAUCAACGCUGGCGGCGUGCCUAACACAUGCAAGUCGAACGAGAUAGUGACUUCGGUCACUGGAAAGUGGCGUCCGGGUGAGUAACACGUGGGUAAUCUACCCUCGGGUGGGAAUAACGGAUCGAAAGAUUCGCUAAUACCGCAUAAUGCAGCGGCACCUAAUGGUGAAUAGUUGUUAAAGCGGGGGUAUCGCAAGACCUCGCGCCUGAAGAGGAGCCUGCGGCAGGAUUAGCUAGUUGGUGAGGUAAUGGCUCACCAAGGCUUCGAUCUGUAGCUGGUCUGAGAGGACGGCAGCCACACUGGCACUGACACACGGGCCAGACUCCGAGGGAGCAGCAGGUGGGAAUUUUGGCAAGUGGACGAAAGCCUGACCAGCAACGCCGCGUGAGGAGAACUCCGUCGGAUGUAAACCUCGACGAAGACGAAGGAGACGAG